CGGGUGAUUUGUUGGGCGUCGGGCGGCGGACGGGUGAGUAGUGCCUGGGAAAUUGCCCUGAUGUGGGGGAUAACCAUUGGAAACGAUGGCUAAUACCGCAUAACGUCUACGGACCAAAGAGGGGGACCUUCGGGCCUCUCGCUUCAGGAUAUGCCCAGGUGGGAUUAGCUAGUUGGUGAGGUAAUGGCUCACCAAGGCGACGAUCCCUAGCUGGUCUGAGAGGAUGAUCAGCCACACUGGAACUGAGACACGGUCCAGACUCCUACGGGAGGCAGCAGUGGGAAUAUUGCACAAUGGGCGCAAGCCUGAUGCAGCCAUGCCGCGUGUAUGAAGAAGGCCUUCGGGUUGUAAAGUACUUUCAGCAGUGAGGAAGGUUCAUGCGUUAAUAGCGCAUGGAUUUGACGUUAGCUGCAGAAGAAGCACCGGCUAACUCCGUGCCAGCAGCCGCGGUAAUACGGAGGGUGCGAGCGUUAAUCGGAAUUACUGGGCGUAAAGCGCAUGCAGGUGGUUUGUUAAGUCAGAUGUGAAAGCCCGGGGCUCAACCUCGGAACCGCAUUUGAAACUGGCAGGCUAGAGUACUGUAGAGGGGGGUAGAAUUUCAGGUGUAGCGGUGAAAUGCGUAGAGAUCUGAAGGAAUACCAGUGGCGAAGGCGGCCCCCUGGACAGAUACUGACACUCAGAUGCGAAAGCGUGGGGAGCAAACAGGAUUAGAUACCCUGGUAGUCCACGCCGUAAACGAUGUCUACUUGGAGGUUGUGGCCUUGAGCCGUGGCUUUCGGAGCUAACGCGUUAAGUAGACCGCCUGGGGAGUACGGUCGCAAGAUUAAAACUCAAAUGAAUUGACGGGGGCCCGCACAAGCGGUGGAGCAUGUGGUUUAAUUCGAUGCAACGCGAAGAACCUUACCUACUCUUGACAUCCAGAGAACUUAGCAGAGAUGCUUUGGUGCCUUCGGGAACUCUGAGACAGGUGCUGCAUGGCUGUCGUCAGCUCGUGUUGUGAAAUGUUGGGUUAAGUCCCGCAACGAGCGCAACCCUUAUCCUUGUUUGCCAGCACGUAAUGGUGGGAACUCCAGGGAGACUGCCGGUGAUAAACCGGAGGAAGGUGGGGACGACGUCAAGUCAUCAUGGCCCUUACGAGUAGGGCUACACACGUGCUACAAUGGCGCAUACAGAGGGCUGCCAACCAGCGAUGGUGAGCGAAUCCCAAAAAGUGCGUCGUAGUCCGGAUUGGAGUCUGCAACUCGACUCCAUGAAGUCGGAAUCGCUAGUAAUCGUGAAUCAGAAUGUCACGGUGAAUACGUUCCCGGGCCUUGUACACACCGCCCGUCACACCAUGGGAGUGGGCUGCAAAAGAAGUGGGUAGUUUAACC
rnacentral:rRNA from 1 species